rnacentral:rRNA from 1 species
AACGAACGCUGGCGGCGCGCCUAAUACAUGCAAGUCGAGCGAGAAGACGUAGCAAUACGUUUGUAAAGCGGCGAACGGGUGAGGAAUACAUGGGUAACCUACCCUCGAGUGGGGAAUAACUAGCCGAAAGGUUAGCUAAUACCGCGUACGCUCCUUGGACUUCGGUUCAGGGAGGAAAGCGAUACCGUGGGUAUCGCGCUCUUGGAUGGGCUCAUGUCCUAUCAGCUUGUUGGUGAGGAACGGCUCACCAAGGCUUCGACGGGUAGCUGGUCUGAGAGGACGAUCAGCCACACUGGCACUGCGACACGGGCCAGACUCCUACGGGAGGCAGCAGUAAGGAAUAUUGCGCAAUGGGCGAAAGCCUGACGCAGCGACGCCGCGUGGGGGAUGAAGGUCUUCGGAUUGUAAACCCCUUUCGGGAGGGAAGAUGGAACGAGCAAUCGUUCGGACGGUACCUCCAGAAGCAGCCACGGCUAACUUCGUGCCAGCAGCCGCAGUAAC